rnacentral:rRNA from 1 species
AUUGAACGCUGGCGGCAGGCCUAACACAUGCAAGUCGAGCGGAUGAAGGGAGCUUGCUCCUGGAUUCAGCGGCGGACGGGUGAGUAAUGCCUAGGAAUCUGCCUGGUAGUGGGGGAUAACGUCCGGAAACGGGCGCUAAUACCGCAUACGUCCUGAGGGAGAAAGUGGGGGAUCUUCGGACCUCACGCUAUCAGAUGAGCCUAGGUCGGAUUAGCUAGUUGGUGGGGUAAAGGCCUACCAAGGCGACGAUCCGUAACUGGUCUGAGAGGAUGAUCAGUCACACUGGAACUGGGACACGGUCCAGACUCCUACGGGAGGCAGCAGUGGGGAAUAUUGGGCAAUGGGCGAAAGCCUGACCCAGCCAGGCCGCGUGUGUGAAAAAGGUCUUCGGAUUGUAAAGCACGUUAAGUUGGGAGGAAGGGCAGUAAGUUGAUACCUUGCUGUUUUGACGUUACCAACAGAAUAAGCACCGGCUAACUACGUG